GUACUCGCUUUGGCAGCAUAAAUACUAAAAUCGGAAUGAUUACAGAGAAGACUAGCAUGGCCCCUGAGUGAGAACAUAAGUGCCUCAACUGAACUUUAAAAGACAGUC
rnacentral:snRNA from 1 species